rnacentral:lncRNA from 1 species
UUGAGUCUUUAUUAGUGGCCAUUCCUCAGUUGGUGUAGACUUGAUGCUUGUAUCGCCAUGAUCUUGAUCUUCAAGCUUUAGUUCUUCCUCGCUCUGGUCCUUGUCUUGUAUGAAUAGCAUCUUGUCCUUCGUUAAACUCAUUGCUACUUGGUUGAGAAGCGGUUGCUCGAGGUCGAGUUGAGCAAUGCCUUUGGUGAUGUCUUCUAAGCUUCUUUGGUUGAUCAGGGUGUCCAUGGCAUUGUUGAACUCUUCUCUAAACUUUCUAAAUCCUGAUCUUGUCCUUGGAGGGUUCUUCAUGGUGAGAAAAGUAUCUUUAGGGGCCAUGUCCUCAUCACAGAGCACAAGCAAUAAGUGAUGAGAUGAUUGAACUAUGAAAGACUUGUUUGUUUUUAUCAUCUUGUUGGAUCUAAAUAUACAAAGGUUGAGAAUUCAUGGAUUUUUUUGCCGUACGUUUCUUUCCCUAUCCAUUACCAAAUUUUACAUGGAAGCUGCAGAUUCUAGAUAUUUAGCUUGAGUUUUGAGAAGAGAAAAUAAAAUGGCUAUGGUCAAUGCACAUAACACUUUUUAAACAAAACUACGGAAAUGGUUAUACAUAUAUAUAAUAGACCAUACCUCAAAUUUGAAAGGAUCUUGGAUUUAUAAAUUUGCUUUAUAUGGAAGGGAAUAAUUACCAGUCAAAGUAAUGCUAGAGAAAGAAGACGAAGAUGUUUGACACAAGAUCUUUAACGUCUUAGCUUGACGAAAAUCAGAGAGUAUAAUAAC